rnacentral:rRNA from 1 species
AGUGAACGCUGGCGGCGUGCUUAACACAUGCAAGUCGAACGCGAAAGGGGUAGCAAUACCGCGAGUAGAGUGGCGAACGGGUGAGUAAUAUGUGAGUAAUCUGCCUUCGAGAGGGGGAUAACCUGGCGAAAGCUGGGCUAAUACCCCAUGAAGUUUGGUUGUUUUCGGACGAUUGAACCAAAGGAUGGCCUCUAUUUAUAAGCUAUCGCUUGGAGAGGAGCUCACANCCUAUCACGCUUGUUGGUGAGGUAAAAGGCUCACCAAGGCGACGACGGGUAGCCGGCCUGAGAGGGUGUCCGGCCACACUGGAACUGAGAUACGGUCCAGACUCCUACGGGAGGCAGCAGUGGGGAAUUUUUCGCAAUGGGCGCAAGCCUGACGAAGCAACGCCGCGUGGAGGAUGAAGGUCUUCGGA